rnacentral:lncRNA from 1 species
UGAUGGAUUUUUGAGAAAAACCCUAGUCUGCCCGUGCUUCUGUUCAUCGCUCGCCACGGCGAGGGAUGAUCCUCGCCUCGCGAGUGAUGAACUUCAUCGCUCGCCACGCGAGCCCCUUUCCUUUGCCUCGCAAGUUGUUUGGUGCAACUCGCCAUGGCGAGCAACCCUUCCUCGCCUCGCGAGCUUAGGCAGAGUGCAUGUCAUAUUUCGUGUUUCGACCUUUUUAGUUGAAUCUUGUAUGCCUUUGAGCACCUGAACAUACCUAGUAUUGAUUAGGAAUGAAUGUAGGAUCAGAGGGAACCCAGAACAACCUUAGUUUGGGAGUUGAGUGGUACUCGCCAUGGCGAGUAAGUACUCUCGCCUCGCGAGCACAACCAGGAUGAACUUGUUUAUGUGUUUAUGCGAUCUGUGUCGCACUUGUUGAUCAAGAGUGAACCCCUAACUGGUAAUGAGACCUAGUGAUGUCGUUUAAUGCAGACUGUAGAGUUGUUUGAGUUAUAUUAAUAUUAAUUGAAUAUGAACUAUUG